rnacentral:rRNA from 1 species
UACGAAGGGGGCUAGCGUUGUUCGGAAUUAUUGGGCGUAAAGGGAGCGUAGGCGGUUCGGCAAGUCUCUAGUGAAAUCUCUGGGCUCAACCCAGAGUCUGCUGGGGAAACUGCCGGGCUUGAGUAUGGGAGAGGUGAGUGGAAUUCCCGGUGUAGCGGUGAAAUGCGUAGAUAUCGGGAGGAACCCCUGUGGCGAAGGCGACUUCCUGGCCUGUUCUUGACGCUGAGGCGCGAAAGCUAGGGGAGCACACGGG